rnacentral:lncRNA from 1 species
CUUUAUUUGGGGAAGUUUAUGUGUCACAUGAGAUAAGUAAAGUCCUUAACAGUGCACAUGCUUACAUUUUAAACAUGUUUUUAGUAUAGGUUAUAUGCAUGAUUAAAAUAAAGCAUGUUUUAUGGUACUGGACCAGUUAUUUCCCAGUGUUUUUAGCAUGUAACUCUUUAAAAACGUCUUGACUGCGAUUCCUUUAGAAUUCAGUCCUACUGAAUUCACUUGAAAUGGGACGGCAGCCAACAAAAGGACGCGAAAGUUGUCUUUUUAUCCCCUUUAAACUGCUUUUAUUUAUGAUGUGGUGGUUUGUAAAAGCGAUCUUGCAGGCAGACACAACACAAACGCCCGGUUUGUUAUUGAAACGUAUCCUGGGAGGUGGGCCCUGUAUGCAGUUACAGUGGGAGAGGUGGAGCCUAAGCCACGCCCAGUCCAGUCACAACUCAAUCACACAAAACAAGUACGUUGCUGUUAUUCUUUUUCUGUUUGUCCACAACUUCUUCUUAGUCAGGCUUUUUAAUACUGAACAUCACCUGUGUCACUCCCAAUAACAGCACGUGUUUAUUGUGGACUGAUUUGCUUUUUUCGGGGUUAAUUUUUGUGUGUUAUCCGAACAUUUCAUUACAGAAGGGAAUGCGGUACGGAAGCUGAGGGAAAAAAACGCACAGAAAAAAGAGCCUCAAGUCACCUCUCUGCUCUUUCUCUGCAGGACAUGUCGCUUGUGUUUUUGAUGUUUUCCAUUGUCUUCUUCGGCUCAUCCUCUGGUAUACAAACUGAUGAGGUGUGCUAUGGCAGGAGGUGGCAGUUUCCAUCUAAUUAUACACCCUUACGUUAUACUGGACCGAUAUACUUUACUCAAAGUAAUGGAGGAUCCGUGAAAGUUGUUAUAAACAAUGGGAUGGCAAUAGACGGACGCUUCAGAGUCUCUCUUGGCGCAAUUUAUGUUACAAAUGUGACAGAAAGAGAUGAAGGAAUUUAUUCUGUCUCAUCUGGUGGCCACCAGCGACACAGUGUUGUUGAACUGAAAGUCUUGGAAUGUGCCGAAAAGGUCACAAGGAAUUACUACUAUACGUGGGAGUACUCGAUCCCUAGACGGGCUGAAAUCCUGGAGUUUACUCCCCUUCACAGUCCGGACCAGCCAAAGAUCCUGUGGAAUCGCACAGACUCUCAGAUCAGAGAAAGCAGAGCUGAGGUGAGAAACGGUAAUUGGCAGCUGUCUUACCUCACUCAUGCAGACAGUGGCUACUACAACUUCAGGGAUAAGGACCACUCUGUGUUGGCCAGGGUGCUGCUCAAAGUACAAGAACAAACCAGACACUAUGAAACAAAGUGGAAUGAGUACCUCGUCAUUGAAUACCCUCGGGGUGCUAAGAAGUGGACCAUGACUUUUACACCUGAGGGGAAAAUGGAACCCAAAACACUGAUGGAUGGCAGUCUGAUCAUAAAAGAUAAUCAUUUUUCUGGCAGAAUUCGUGCAGUGAUAGAUGGCAUAGUAAUCGAUCCUGCCGAAAUUGGAGACUCUGGCACCUUUGAGUUCAGAGACCCAGAAGGCAACCUGAUCUUGAGUGCUCAGCUUGAAGUGAUCCCUGAAAUGUUGCCACAGAUUAUAUUUAUGGUUGUGACUGUCUUGAUUGUCAUCUUGGUGAUGGUCUGCUGUUGCUGUUGUUGUAAAAAGUGCUGUAAAAGGGACAAGUCUGCUCCUCAGACUGCAGCCUCACCUGCACCUGCUGUAUAUUAUCAUAAUGAGAAUGAACCUGCAUGCCCAAGCUACUCACAUCCUUCAGCUUUGUCUUAUCAGCCUGUGAAUUCUCAUGUUUCUACACAGCCUUCAGCUACCUCCUCUGAGCCACCGAUGUACCACAAAGUGAAUAUCCAUGAGAGCCCUGCUCAGCCUGAGGUUGCAGUACCUGGAAAGCAGGCUUCCACUCCAGAUCCCUCGGUCGGCCCAGACUUCCUCUUGUCAGACCCAGAGCCGCGAUUUGAACUGAAAGGAUUAGACAUGCCUUUUGCACCAUCUCUUACUUCAGACACAACUAUCUGUGAUGUUUAUAACUCAGACAAACUAAACUUUCUGUAAAUAGCAUGCUGAAAAUUCAGGUACAAGAACAUAAAUCUCACUCAGUGUUGUCCUCAAAAUGCCCUGUUACAUCUCCAGCAGCUGAAGUGUGAACUACGGAAUCAGGGUUUUAUUAUAUUGUGGAAUAUAAAUGCAUAUGCUGUAAAUUAGAAUUGUUAUUUGCAUGUAGUGUCUACUUUGCUUCUCUCCACGGAGCUAAGGAUAUUUACUGAAUAACAGAUAAUGCAAUCCAGUAUAAUGGCAAAGCAUGUAAUACGCUUUGCCAUUGAUAUCGGACUAGAUAAUGUUGCUAGCUUUAGCUUGUAUGGGUAUUUUCUACCUCUGUCAUGUGCAUUCAGCUCCAUACAUCACUUGUUUGUGGCUUUUAUUGUUGCGUUUUGAGGGAUGUUGGGCAAUUUUUAAAAGUGGCUUUUUAUAUUGUUUAAUUCUCAAAUGCAAUACAAGUAUAACUGUGGUUCUGUAUAUCUUUAAACAGAAGCUUGUAUAAAAGUUUUAUCGGGCAUUGAAAAACAUGUAUUGUUUAUAUAAUAUAUGUAAAAUUCUGAUAGUUGUUUGCAUUGCAUGAAGAUGUCCGAAUAUGGAAUCAGUGUAAUGAUUUGAAAAAGACCUUAAAGAGCUUACAUAAAUUUUUAAACUGUCCCUUUGUCUCGCUCCCUCUUUCUGUCUCACUCUCUCUCUCUAACACACACACACACACACACACACACACACACACACACACACACACACACACACACACGCACACACACGCACACGCGCGCGGACACAGUGGAAUGACAACACCACUACUUCUUACAUUUUAAAAAAUCUAAAUGGAAGAGCCCCUUAAAAUUUGCAUGGAAACUAGAGGGUUAGGCAUUUUUUAACAUUACAAUCAGCAUUACAGUUGUAAUAGCUUCUAAUGCAACUGUAAGUCAUUUAAUUAUAACAGCAUUUGUAUGUUGACAGACAUUUAAAAAAGCUGGUUUUGGAGAGUCUGCUACUAUGCAGCUCUUAUAGCAAGUUGAUGUGCAGAUGUUAAUUCCUGCAGUGGAUGUUCCUUUGCCUACAUGCAUGUAGUUUAAGUAAUUGCUUUGUGUUAUCAUAUUUCGUAGAUAAAUAUAAAUUGGUGUCAUCUGCAUAGCAAUGAAAAUGCAUGUGUUUUCUAAUAAUAUUGCAUGAGGGGAAACAUAUAAUGUAAAAAGUAUUGGUUCUAGGACAGAACUCUGUGGAACUCCAUGAAAAAUUCUUUAACUUACAUUAAUACUACCUGUCUACCUGUUCAUUCCUGGUCCAUUCCUGGUAUAAAGCCUGAGAAUAACUGCUAUGGCAUGGGGUUAAACUUUUCAUCUGAUUAUAUACAUAUUAUUUAUUAUGGACCAGUACAGUUCACUCCAAAUAAAGGAGGCUCCUCAAAAUUUGAGGUAAAUGUUUGGAGGUAAGCUGCUCCACGUGCUGUGUGACCAUGUCUGGUCUUAAUGAGAAUUAAACUAUCCUGCAUCAACCAAUCUGUUUGAUAAUAGAUUUGUUUAGAUAGACUUUUCCACUUGAAGUACUUUUUUCUACUGUUUUUGUACAUAAGUGCUUUCUAUCUAGCAUUCACACUUAUCAUAUCGGUGAGUAACUUGGGGUUCAGUAUCCCAAGAAUCCUUUGGCAUGCUGAUUGUAACAGCCAGGGAUUGAAGCACCAACCUUCUGAUUAGUGGAUGACCUGCUCUACCUCCAGAGCCCUGUUACUUGUGCAUUUCUAAAUACAAGUUCACUCUGUUUUUUGUUGUUGUUUAAAAAAAAAAUAAAAAAUUCUA